UUAAAAAGCUCGUAGUUGAAUUUCGGGAUCAGUACGUUGGUCGUGCCUUAGGUACGUACUGGUGUUACUGGUCCCUACCUUCUGACGAACCAUCAUGUCAUUAAUUUGGUGUGGCGGGGAAUCGGGACUGUUACUUUGAAAAAAUUAGAGUGUUUAAAGCAGGCUCGCGCUUGAAUACAUUAGCAUGGAAUAAUGAAAUAGGACGUUGAUCCUAUUUUGUUGGUUUCUAGGAUUGACGUAAUGAUUAAUAGGGAUAGUUGGGGG
rnacentral:rRNA from 1 species